AGCAGUGAAAUGCGUAGAUAUGGGAGGAACACCGGAUGGCGAAGGCAAUCCCCUGGGCCUGCACUGACGUCAUGCACGAAAGGCGUGGGGAGCAAACAGGAUUAGAUACCCUGGUAGUCCACGCCCUAACGAUGUCAACUGGGUUGUUGGACGGCUUGCUGUUCAGUAACGAAGCUAACGCGUGAAGUGACCGCAAGGCUUU
rnacentral:rRNA from 1 species